UGGGGAAUAUUGCACACUGGGGGAAACCCUGAUGCAGCGACGCCGCGUGAACGAAGAAGGUAUUCGUAUCGUAAAGUUCUGUCCUAUGGGAAGAUAAUGACAGUACCAUAGAAGAAAGCUCCGGCUAAAUACGUGCCAGCAGCCGCGGUAAUACGUAUGGAGCGAGCGUUGUCCGGAAUUAUUGGGCGUAAAGGGUACGCAGGCGGUUUAAUAAGUCGAAUGUUAAAGAUCGGGGCUCAACCCCGUAAAGCAUUGGAAACUGAUAAACUUGAGUAGUGGAGAGGAAAGUGGAAUUCCUAGUGUAGUGGUGAAAUACGUAGAUAUUAGGAGGAAUACCAGUAGCGAAGGCGACUUUCUGGACACAAACUGACGCUGAGGUACGAAAGCGUGGGGAGCAAACAGG
rnacentral:rRNA from 1 species